UCAGCAUCCUGAGGAGACCGUGGUGUGGGACACUGUGGAAGACGCCGCCAAGACAGAGAGAAAUUGCCAUGCAGCAUCAGCCCUGUGCUUCUUCUAGUCCAGGCACCCUUCUCCAGUGGUAUCCAGUAUCAGCUGCUUCAGAGAAAGGAAAAUUAUAGGCUAAACCAUGAAGAAAAUUUCAUCCUAGCCCAGGCAGUCAGUGCUUGGCUCAUGUCCUGAAGCACGAAGGUCUCUACAAAUGAUAAAGACAUUUUAGAAUUCUGUUAGUCUCCAUGUCUGAAUGAUCUCCUGAGCCACCGACAUGCACAAGUGUGAUUAGAGUGUUAACUAGAGAGAGAAGUGAUAGUGACAGUCAGAGAGAAAGAGAUGGACAUACAGAUGAGUUGUACUAGAUGUCCACCCACAUGUCUCAAAAACUCAUUGGUUUAUAGCCUGAUAAGAAAUAAGAAAAAAACACAAUCAAACGGUGUGGCAUAAUUUUGUAGUUUUUUCUUGUUGCUCCAGUUUUUUGUGCAAAUUAAAAAGAAUGCUGACA